CAGAUGACAGCAGCCAGUGAUUCUUCAACCUUCUACUAGCCAAAAGUAAAAGGAACCAAGACAUCAAAAGUAGGGGUGAUUUCUGCAGCUGCCCACACCUGGAGCAUCCAUAAUGGGACCCGGCUUUAACAUUCCUUCUUUCUUGUCUUCCUCCAAAGACAAGAAAGCCCUGUCAUGUGCCAAGGUCUUUACUUGAGUAAAUGAACAAAUGAAUCCAAGAGAACUCCCAAAUAGCAUCAUAUUUAAUUGAAUUUUGUCAUGAGGGGAAAAAAAAAUGUUAGAAAAUCCAUGACUCUUGGGCUGGGGAUGUAGCUCAGGGGUAGAAUGCUUGGUUAGCAUGUGUAAAAUUUGGCUUCUAUCCCCAGGACUGGGAGAGACAGACAGACAGACACAGAGACGGACAGACAGACAGAUACAGAGACAGGCACGCAAAGAGAGACAGAGAGGAAACAGCUCUCAGACAAAUACACUGCAAGGCCAGAGUGCUAACUUUUGGAAGUUACGGUUCAUCUACCAAGUUCUAAGGCAAGACAACUAAAAUCGCAGCAAGCUUUGUCAACGCACACGUCCUCUAAACCAGCUUCUACAACGUCACAUAUGCCACUCAGAGAACAAAAGAAAGGACUCUCCUUUUAUAUCAUUCCAACAUGACUCUAUGACCUCACCCCUUGGGGCCGUGAGGCUGUCAGAGCUUGUGGAGAAAGAUCCCAGAUUCUACUGUGGUGUUUCUGUACUAUCAUGUCCCGCUCAUGGUUCCGAUAACUCAACCAGGGGGCAAGGCCACGAUGAGCCCACUGCCAGCCCACAGACAGCCUCAUGCAUUUGGAAACAAGCAUAUCUAUAUCCAGCCAAGCAUGAGGAGUUUUUGCCCUCCUGGUUCUCUUGGGUGGGAUACCAUCUGCAUAGGCCCGCCAUAUUGCUGUCAAAGACUCAGUAAGGUCCUGUCUACCAUCUCGAAUGCCUCGCACCAUCAGCUCUUCUCUAAGAGGUGAUGCAUGAGACAGGGGUUGACGUUUAGACCAGAUGCAGCUUCAGCCCAGAUGCUAUCACACCAUCCGUUCUGAGCCGAUCUCUCACUGCCUGUUUCUACCGCCUGUAAUCUGGGGGGAUAUGAACACCUCCUUCAAGGAAAUGAGAAGAAACUUUGAAGACAUGUGAAUAAAGGACCCAGCAGAAAUGAGAAAAGUGGAAGCCCAAAUUCAUGAUCCGGAGCUGCCCUUCCUGUCUCAGACCUACCUAUGGCCAAGGAUGUUCCAGACUUGAACUUCCCAGUGUGGGGGCUGCAACGAUGACUCAGUCGGUAGAGCACAUGGCCACUCAAGCAUGAGGACAAGAAUGUGGAUCCCCAGCACCGACAUAAAAGCCAGGCGGACUCUGCAGGUGUCUGUGAUCCCAGAACUCAAGGGGCAGAGACUGAGAUGCCUGGACAAGCUGAUUAGCUAGACUAGCAGAAUUGGUGAGAGACCCUGCCUCAGUAAAAAAUUGUGGUUAAGGAGGA